AGUGUGUAUUGAGGAAGGCACGUGACUUAAUUUCAUAAGUCUCAACAUCUCUUGAUUUAAGCACUUUUUGGAGCUGAACAUCACUAAUUACCAGCAGACUCACAAAUUUCUGUCUGAGAGUUAACAGAAUGAACCAAGAGAACGAAUUGACGUCAUUUCUUGUACUCCUGGACACGACGCAAUGGUCCGUCUGGAGGUCGGGAUACAGACUGGACACGACGCAAUGGUCCGUCUGGAGGGAUACCGACGGGAUAACAAGUCCAGGUUUGCCGGGUACCCACAGUGCAGUGCGCCUUGGGACACCAGUAUCGCGUUCAUCUGACAGUUUUACCUGGUGUAAGUAGCCUGAAGAGGACCCAGGUAACCGUGAUGGGUUGUAAAUAUUUUUCAUUCACAUAAACAUACGAGUAUACACUACAUGACGCACCCAUUCACUGUCCUGGGAAAGUUAACACGGGAUUUUGUCCCUGUUGCCCGGAUAAAAGUCCGUGAGUGCCUCCACCCGAAGGCACCGAGACGAUAGAAACACCGGAAGUGCAGAAUAUUGAUACAGAACAUCAGAUACGAUACACAAGUUGAAAUUAAAAAAGUUACUUAUAAAGAGCGCUUUCAAUUAAUUUUCUGAAUUAAAGUCUAAUAAAAUACAAUACAGAUCAGCUGAUUUACAUAUGGAAUUUUCUAUCCUAACAAAAACCAAUUUGUUUCAUAGCAUGAUAAAUCUAAUAUACAUGUAGAUAGGCAGAAGUUAUUAAAAUGUUAAGGUCAUCAAAAGUUCAAAAUUGUAGUAAUCAGGAUUUGUUCGCGAGAUAAAUAUAUGAAAAUAUGCCCUAAAAUCACAUUUAAAUGUAGGCUUUGCUCACCAUUGUUUUUAUGAUCAA